CUCGCGAGGUUCCCGCCUCGCUGCGGGCGGCGGCGGCCGCGGUUCCUCCAUGCGGUCGGAGCGAGAGGCCGGGCCGGGGCUGAUGCGGGGCGGUGGCCGCGAGAAGUGGCCCAUGGACAUCCCGCUGCGGCGGGAGUCGCCUCGCCGCGACCCGGACGCUCCGCCAAACCCGCCGCUGGCGCCGCCACCUUCCCCGCCCUCCCUGCUGCUGCCGCCGCCGCCGCUUCAGCCCGUGCCGGGUAAACAGCGAGAUGAGAAGAAAACGGCUCUAAGCAAAGUAGUUAUUCGACGGCUCCCUCCUUGUCUAACUAAGGAGCAACUGGAGGAACAGCUACAUCCUCUACCUGCCCAUGAUUAUUUUGAGUUUUGCACUGCUGAUCCCAGCCUUUAUCCUCAUCUCUACUCAAGAGCAUACAUUAACUUUAGAAAUCCUGAGGACAUCCUUCUUUUUAGAGAUCGAUUUGAUGGCUAUGUCUUCAUUGAUAAUAAAGGUUUGGAGUAUCAUGCAGUGGUUGAAUUUGCUCCAUUCCAGAAGAUUUCAAAAAAGAAGCUGAAGAAGAAAGAUGCAAAAGCCGGGAGCAUUGAAGACGAUCCAGAAUAUAGGAAAUUUUUAGAGAGUUAUUGCGCUGAUGAAGAGAAAGUCUGUGCCAAUCCUGAGAUUCUUUUGGGAGAGAUUGAGGCCAAAACAAGGGAACUCAUUGCUAGAAGAACAACACCCCUUUUGGAAUAUAUUAAAAAUAGAAAAUUAGAAAAGCAGAGAAUACGAGAAGAGAAAAGAGAAGAGCGAAGGCGGAGAGAAUUGGAGAAGAAACGUCUGCGGGAGGAAGAGAAAAGGAAGCGUAGAGAAGAAGAAAGACGGAAGAGAAAAGAAGUGGAGAAACAAAAGAAAUUUUCUGAAAAAGAAAUAAGGAUCAAGCUUCUCAAGAAGCCUGAAAAAGGAGAUGAACUGGCCAGUGAAAAGCACAAAGAAAAAGGUGAAGAAGCUGACAUUGAGGAAAAAAAUUGGGAUAAAUCACCUGGAUCUGGGAGUAUAAAAUCCAAAUCUUUGGAGGGUUCACUGAAAGAACUUAAGGAAAAGUCACAAAAUGAUAGUGACAAAGAGCAAAGAGAUUUGGAGAGAAGAUUUCGAGAAAAAGAACCUGAAAGACAAAGGUAUCGACUGGAUGAUGGCAGAAAGCAUAGAGCUCACUAUGAGUUUGACAAGUUUUUGAGAAGGAAUGAAGAAGAGCUGAAAUGGGGGAAAGGAUACAACCAAGACAGAGGAAAGAAAGGGAACUACAACUACGGCUUCACUGUGGAGGCAGUAGACAAACUGGGUAAAGAGGACAAGUGUGAUGACAUGGCAUCCAAAAAGGAGCGCAUAAGAAAUAAGGUUCUUUUAUUCAUUUAGGAUAAUCUUUCAUUAGUUAAAUAUGCUUCGAGAUCACAGGUUUUACUUUUGCAAACUCAGCAUAAAGAUGCUUUUUCAAAAAAAGCAAUUCUUUAUUUCAUUUUCAGUAAAAACCAGGCUGCUUUCUGUUGUUAUCAGAGGACAAUAGCAGUUAAAAUAAGUUAAGAUUACAGGUCUCUGCUCUUUCACAUUUAAAAUAUAUAGAAGACAUACUGUCUUCCUUUCAGCCCUAGCAUUUUUAGAGCGCUAUUCUUGGAAGCCUUGUAUUUUAUGAGUCUAUUAAAAAUUGUUACACUUCUGAUCUGUAAUGAAAUAUAUAAACUGUGGCAUACUAUCCUUUUAAAAAGGUACUUCCAUUACCCAGCUCAUAAAGUAAUUAUGUUGUGGAUUAGCCAGGCAUUGCUUGGUAGAGGAACCAUAAGGACUUAAAUAAAUAGCUAAUUUGGAGACCAUUGUAUUUAGAGGGUGUAAAUGUGCAAAUUCUUCAGUAUUGUAUACCUGCCAGUAUGGAAAGGCUGUUGUUUGGUUAGGACAAAUUAUCCUCACAGUCAUUGUCAGGGAAGGAGCAGGUGCAAUACCAGUGCAAGCAGGGUGUGUGGUAGAGCUGUGCCUUAUUGUGUCCCAGAGACACAGGGCAUCAUUUUUCUCAGACUGUCUGAAUUUGUGGAUGUGCCAGGGUCUUUUCAGGAGGUGGCUUUCCAUGUCACCCUCAUUUUCUCUCCCUUCUGAGCCUGGAUUUUCCACAAAAGAUAACCAAAACACUGUUUUGUGUAGAAUUUUUUUCUACAUGUGAAACUCUUUCAAACAAAGUGACUGAUUUGUGAUGUGGAUUAAGGCUGACAGGGAGUAAACUUAACCACAUGCAGAGUGAGUCUGUAUGGAGCGUGCACAGAGCAAGCCCAGGUGGACUCACUGUGUGUAAAGUAAAUCACCUUGUGCAAACACAGAAAGCCUGGUGUGCCCCACUUCUUGUUUAUGCAGAGGUUAAUGCGCAGUAUGGGUGAGUUUUAUCUGCAUGUAUACAGUAGCCACUUUCCGUGUUACACCAGCAGCUCAGGCUGUAGAAAAGUCAGAAAAAUGGGAAGAUGGGAGAAACCAUUUUCCUCAUGCUUGUGAUGCUGCUCUUGAAAUCUGGCAAAAUAACCUGCAGCCUUGGAACUGGGUGGUGGGUCUUGGGGGACCUUUGGUCAAGCCUUAAGAAGCUGCCUCCUUUAUUUCUUCCCAUCACACAUCUGGUAGCUUGCUGAGCCUCUGAAUUAGUCCACACUUCAAGUGCUAGAUUUGUUCCCUAAAGACAAUAAGCAGUAUCGGUAAAGUUUUUUCAGUGUGGUGACUUUUCCUUAGAGUGUUUGUCACAUAGAGAAGAGCUAAGGGCUGAGUUUUAAAACUUACCUAUAGAAUUAACAAUGCCAACACAAUUUUUUAGGCAGAGAUCGAACUUCUAUCUGAAGUUUGUAAGAUUUAAUUAGAAAAUGGGAAAUUUCUGGUGUAAGUAACAGUUGUGCUAGCUUUCAUGCAAACUGCAAGGUUCAGAGUCUUGUGAUAUGAAAAAUUGUUUGGACCCUUUAUUACAAACUUCCCAAUGGGUACUGUUUGUCAGAGGAUCUAGUUUUAUGCAGAUGUUUAUGAUAUAGAAAGAUGUGUGUUAUGCAUUUCAUACCACACUACAAAGCACCAACUAGAAUGAUCUCGUUGUAUGGCCCAAUAGUGAAUCUUGGUAUCUGGUCUAAAGAGAUGCGAGGAAAAAAGUGGAGCAAAAAAGAUAAAGGUGAAGGAAAAAGAAAGAAAAGGGGAAAAUGCGUAUUGGGAAUAAGAAUGAAAGAACAAAAGACCAGAAUGACUUCAGAUUAUGAAGGUAGUUGAAAAUUAAUGUAGUUUGAUGUAGGACAAUUUCAGUGCUCUGCCACUGUCUUAAAACAGGCUGUUAAAUUUUAUUCGCUAAACUUAAGACUUUGGUCAGUAAGCUUAGGUUUUGGUGAAUGGAUUGCUUCAUAACAUUAAAAACUGGUAUUUGUUAGAGUAUGUAUGUUGAGACAGUAUGUUUUAUUACUGAAAUUUCAAGACCGAAAAGUGUUCUCAGGAGCUAUGGAACAUCACCAUUUGCAAGUCUGAGGUGUCUUUUCCUUGUAAACUGGCUCCUUCCAUUUUCCAGUGACCAAGUCAGCAUGAGUGUAUGAUUGGGUCACUCACAAAGCCUGCGAAUACUCAAAUUGUACUUACUUUGUUUAUUAUCAGUGGGUGAAUUCCCCAGCUCCCAUACUCGGUAUGGAAGGCAUGAUGAAGUGGAACAAUAACUGCAAUUUCAUUUUGAUAUGUAUAAUUCAAAUGUACAUUCCAUGUUUAAAUCAUGGCAAUGAGUGAUGAUUUGAAAGGUACUGCACACAUAUCAACUGGUAAAGUUCAGUUGAGGAUAGUUUUCUAGCUGUUACCUGCUAAACUGUUCUCCAAUUUGUCUUUUUUUUAAAUGCUUGUAUUUAAUAUUUGUUGUUCAUCUGCAGAGUUGCAAGUGCGCAGGCUGCUGUUCUCGGUUGGUGUUAGUGAAUGGUGUAACAUUUUUCAAGUUCUGCCUGUAAUACUGUGUUUGAUAGUUGACUGCAGUAUGUCUGCUUGUUUAUGUCAAAUGUAUCGUAGGAUCUUUAAUUUUUACAGCUGUAUUUAUUCAAAAUGCUUGGCUCCCAAGAAUAGUGUUCUAAACAAGACAGAUAUUAAAGAGUCAGUUCUCAUUACACUCCAUUUUUUUCGUGGGUCUUAUGAAAUGUAAAGUGAUUUAACACAGAAUCUGCUUUCUUCACAAACAUUCAUCACUUUAAAAUCCCACAUAUGUCUCCCUCACAGGUUUCCCAGAGCAUUAACCACAUCUCCUUUCUUCUAGGAUCGCCCAGCCAUGCAGUUAUACCAGCCAGGAGCUCGCAUUCGAACACAUAUGGGAUCUACAAGUAAAACCUAUGACUGCAGUGGGAAGUCCUUUGAAGAUGCUCUUGAUAAAAAGUAUGAAGCAGAUAAUUCAGUUGGAGG